GUGUGUGUGUGUGUGUGUGUGUGAAAUAAAAACAUUGGAGUAGAACAAGAAGAAAAAAAAAGAAAAAAAGGGGAAAAGCAGUAGGGGAGAAAGGAGCAAAUGCUUCUUCAGCUUUGCCAAGUAUUUGUCUUGUAAAUAAUUUGAGGAAAAGGUUAUCUUAUAAGUUUUCCAUAUAAAUCCUACUCUGACUGUUUUGCAGCCUACUACUAUUCAAAAAGAUCAUUAACUUGAUAAUUGUCAUAUUUUAAAGUUAUAGUUGCCACCUGUAGAUGCUACCUUUUGCCCUAGGUUUUUAGGACAAAUGGAUGCCCCCAAAUUGAAUAGUGAUAGUAUUCUCAGAAGACAAGUUUUUUUUUUUUUCAUAUAGGAAUGUUAGAAUUGAGCUGAACUCAUCAUUUCUAUUUGUGUAGAUUUCCCUUGUAGUUUAGUCUGGAUAUAAUAUUUUAAUUUAACAUGAAAUAUUAAAAUAACUAUCUUAUGGAAAUAAAGUAAACAUUUGAUUAAAAUGUUAUAAUUUGAAGUGCUGAACAGAAUUAUUGUUCAGGACUUCUUAUUGUGUCUUAAGGUGGCUGCAUUUUGGCGGUGGGUAAAACAAUUGUGCUUAAGCUGCUCUCAUUGCAAAGUUUGCCUUGUAAAUAUACUGCUUUGUGUAGACUUCAAGUUGUUGCACUUAUUUGAAACGAGAAAGUCUGCCAAAUCUGAAUAGGUUUGGUUAUGCUUGCUUAAGUUCUAAAGGUUUUCCCUGUCAAACUGACAUUUUUAAUAUCAUCUUUAAAAAUCACAAAAUAGAGGAAAAAAAUCUCUUACUGUCUCUUUCUUUUUAGAGAGGAUCUGACGAACUUCUUUCAGGCAGUGUACUCAAUAGCCCGAACUCUAACAUGAGCAGCAUGGUAGUUACUGCUUCUGUGAGCCUGGGCAUUACAGGAAGAAUGCUGCCCUGUAAAAUGGAUUCAAGAAAAGAGAAUUUGGUCUGGUCUCAUUUAGGCUGCAAAAGCAGUGAACUUCACUUUGCUUCUUUAGUCUGAGAUGGCAGUGUUACUAAAAUCUCAAUGUUUGUUCUUUAACCAAUAUGGUGUUACUAGAUAGAAAGGCUUUUAAGGAAUUAGCACAUAAUAAAAUGCCUUUCGUUGCAGUGUAUGGUCCUGACAUUUGAACUUUCUUUGAGUUCCUUGUGAGAGCUCACCUCACAGUCUUGCUUUUUCUCUCUGAGAACACGUAACUUUUUUUUCCUCUUCUCAGAAAUAUGGAGGAAUUAGUUCAUGGUAUCAGUGUUCCGUGGUCUUUCCAAAUGGUUGCUUGGUUCACAGCUUCAAUGUGCAAAAAAAAA